rnacentral:rRNA from 1 species
GAUGAACGCUGGCGGCGUGCUUAACACAUGCAAGUCGAACGGAAAGGCUCCUGCUUGCAGGGGUACUCGAGUGGCGAACGGGUGAGUAACACGUGGGUGAUCUGCCCUGCACUUCGGGAUAAGCCUGGGAAACUGGGUCUAAUACCGGAUAGGACCACAUUUUGGAUGGUGUGGUGGAAAGUUUUUCGGUGUGGGAUGAGCUCGCGGCCUAUCGGCUUGUUGGUGGGGUAAUGGCCUACCAAGGCGUCGACGGGUAGCCGGCCUGAGAGGGUGGACGGCCACAUUGGGACUGAGAUACGGCCCAGAGUCCUACGGGAGGCAGCAGUGGGGAAUAUUGCACAAUGGGCGCAAGCCUGAUGCAGCGACGCCGCGUGGGGGAUGACGGCCUUCGGGUUGUAAACUCCUUUCGCUAGGGACGAAGCGCAAGUGACGGUACCUGGAGAAGAAGCACCGGCUAACUACGUG